rnacentral:misc_RNA from 1 species
UUGUGGAGGAGGACGCCGAAGGUGGGGCUAAUGACUGGGGUGAAGUCGUAACAAGGUAGCCGUACCGGAAGGUGCGGCUGGAUCACCUCCUAACAGGGAGACAACAAAAUGUUUAAUAUUAUUAUUUUGUCACCUUAGGUCGAUCGGUAUCUCACGUUCUUAAUUUGUUAAGAAUUUCAAUUCCUAAGUUUUUCUAGGUCACACCCAUUAUUUUUCCUGGGCCAUUAGCUCAGGUGGUUAGAGCGCACCCCUGAUAAGGGUGAGGUCCCUGGUUCAAGUCCAGGAUGGCCCAUAUCUCUAUGUUGGGGGUAUAGCUCAGUUGGUAGAGCGCCUGCUUUGCAAGCAGGAUGUCAGCGGUUCGAGUCCGCUUACCUCCACUGAUUACCACCUCUUCCAUAACUGGUAGAAAGGAAAUUUUUUAAGUUGUGACCAUUAUUCUGAACGAAUCUAGCUUCCUAAUGAAUCCAUUAAGAUGCUGGACUCAUUGAAUUAAUUUCAUUGUUUUCAGAGAACCUUGACAACUGCAUAGAUUAUUUUUAAAGACAAUAAGCAUCUUUUAAUGAUGCAGAUUUAUUAUUUGUGCGAAUGCAUUAAUAACAAUUCUAUUAAGCUGAUGCUUCAAUUUUUGAAGUUAUUGGUCAAGCUACAA